GAUCAUUACCGAGUGAGGGCCCUCUGGGUCCAACCUCCCACCCGUGUUUAUUUUACCUUGUUGCUUCGGCGGGCCCGCCUUAACUGGCCGCCGGGGGGCUUACGCCCCCGGGCCCGCGCCCGCCGAAGACACCCUCGAACUCUGUCUGAAGAUUGAAGUCUGAGUGAAAAUAUAAAUUAUUUAAAACUUUCAACAACGGAUCUCUUGGUUCCGGCAUCGAUGAAGAACGCAGCGAAAUGCGAUACGUAAUGUGAAUUGCAAAUUCAGUGAAUCAUCGAGUCUUUGAACGCACAUUGCGCCCCCUGGUAUUCCGGGGGGCAUGCCUGUCCGAGCGUCAUUGCUGCCCUCAAGCCCGGCUUGUGUGUUGGGCCCCGUCCCCCGAUCUCCGGGGGACGGGCCCGAAAGGCAGCGGCGGCACCGCGUCCGGUCCUCGAGCGUAUGGGGCUUUGUCACCCGCUCUGUAGGCCCGGCCGGCGCUUGCCGAUCAACCCAAAUUUUUAUCCAGGUUGACCUCGGAUCAGGUAGGGAUACCCGCUGAACUUAAGCAUAUCAAUA
rnacentral:rRNA from 1 species